rnacentral:lncRNA from 1 species
ACCAAGUCAGGGAUGCUAGUGUAUAAAAGAUAGAGAUAUGGAAGCAUCCAAAUAGAAAUGGUCAUAAAAUCAUUGCUCCUGGAUUAAGUUUUUAUCCAUGUCAUGACCCAUAGAAAAGUACAUUGCACACGAUUCUCCAACAAAAUGGCUGGCAAUUUUAACUCGUUUUCUUCAUUCGCUAGCCGUUUGGGUCUUAGUUUUUGGAUGAGAAAGAUUGCACUCUCAUGGUUUUUUCAACCCAUCGUACGGAAUACGCCCAAAUGCAAAACUGUAUUUUUCUAGGAGCACUGUUUGCAUGUACGCCUCACGGAAUCCGAUUCAACAAAAAAAGGUAACACGAGGACUCCAACGGAUGAAUUUACAAACUCUCUUGAACGAAACAACAUGCCUACAUUCCAGAAAUUCGGAUGGGGCAUCUGUUCACAAGUGGUGAACCCUGUUGGAUUCAAAUGCCGUUUGGGCUAUGUAUACAUGGAUGUCCUUUAGAUUUCUUUUAUUUUCAAAGUUCCUUGGCGGUUUUGGGUACUGGGGACCUGUACUUGUGAGCGAUUCAAUGAAUGAAAGUGAGAGUGUUGAUGAUGAAAAUGAAGAGAGACAGAGAGCUGCUUUUGUUCAGUGUAGUGACCCUAGUGGGCGAUGAUGGUGGUGUGGUGAUUUAUGCCGGAUGUCAAUGAAUUCAACGGCUGCUAUGGGCUGUGCUGUGAGUGACAAUCCAUUGGGAUGGGGUAGAGCUAGAAACAUCAAAUAGUAGAGAGAGAAGAGAACUCUAAAUUCCAUAAUAUUUUGACAAUGUUAAUUUAUUAUCUGAUAUGAUAUAAUUUAUAAAUAUUUUUAAAUAUAAUUAAAUUAUUUAUUGAAUCUAUGUAUUAAUGUUUGAAAAUACGUCACAUCAGAUAAUAAAUAAAAAACAGUCAGAUAAGCGUAAUAUUGUUUGAUAUUAAUGCUGUUAAAUAAUGAGAAGAAGGAUUUUAAAUAAUGAUUAAUAAAUGUCCCUUUUAUCUUAAAUUACUGAACUCCACCAAUAACUAAUACCCUGAUACAAAGUUGUGUUUGAAACAUAGAUUCAGUGAGAAAAAAUUAUAUGAAAAUAUAAAAGUUAAACGAUUUAAUUAUUCAAAACUAUAAAAUAAUAUAUCUUUUUCAUUUUAGUUUUCCUUUUUCUAGCCAGAUCCUUUAUCCAAAGAAGCUGCCUCCCUGUGGUUGAAUACUCGAACGUGGAAUAUCAUAAAAACAGAAAAAAUAAGAAAAACAAGGGUAAAUUAUAAGAAUGGUCCCUGUAGUUUUGCAUAUUUUCAAUUCUGGUCUUUGUAUUUUUAAAUUAUGUGAUUUUGACUUUGUAUUUUACAUUUAUUGUCAAAUUAGUCCAAUUGAUAGUGAAAUUUAGAAUUUUGGAUGAAUUUUGAAUACAUGAACAACAUUUUUCUGGUGAUUUACAAUGGAAUUGGAUAUAUUACAGUAGGGUUUGAAUGAUUUAUCGUGAAAAUUGGGUGAAAAUGGGAGAAAAGUUCAAUUUUAUCUCUAAAAUACUGGUAUAUGUCAUAAAAGUAUAAACAAAUGUCCAAAAACAUAACGGCCGUUACUAAUUGGACUGAUUAUAACAAAAAAUAAAAAUAAAAACUUCUGAAUUUAAAAAUAUAAGGAUCAAAAUUUAGGACAAGUAAAAAUACAGGGACACUGUUUACAAUUUAUCCGAAAAACAAAAAAACCUGCCUCCAUCCACACACACACACACACUCUCCACUACCAAUAUAUACGUACCCACUUCUCCCUCUCUCCACCCAAUCUCACAACACCCAAAAAAUUGAGGUUUUGGCUGAUAUCUCCUCUCUCUCCGGGAGCCACCCUGACGCCGAUUCCUAGCUGAGGCGGCAGCGGAGAUCUAAGCUCUGUCAUAAGUAGAGAGAGCAAGGGGAUUUAUAGCUAUGAUUCUUUUGUUUCUGCUGCUUGAGGUCUUUGGGACUUUUGGAAACACUGGUGAUGCUGUGACCAGGAAGAGAGAGGUUGCUGCUUUUCUCGCUCAAACUUCACAUAAAACUACUGGUAAUUUCAAACAUGUUUUUUAUAUAACAAUUAUUAUGUACCAAAAAACAUUUUAAGGACAGCGACUAGUCGCGUCUAAGUGUCUUCCAUCGGUCUUAGGACCAAUUUUUGUUUUUAUAACUCAGUUUUGGUCGAGUCGGGUAAAGUUUCGUAUGGACAGACUCAACUCAAAAAUUAAUUGAUAGCACUUAAAAAGUUUCGAACUAAAGAAUUAAAAUGGAAUAGAUCUCCAAGUCUCAGGCUUAAAUCAUCAAUUUCACAGCUUGUUUUAUUAAGAUCCAGUUUUGUUUUCAGUGAACUUUUUUGGCAUUUAAUUAAAAAUUUAUACUUUUUCAGUUUCUUUUGACGAGAAGAGCUCGAAAAUAAAAAAUAAUCUAAUUUGAAAAAAAAUAUACUAAAUUCGAAAAAAAAUCAUUUUAGAUGGUUUUUCGGAUAAAAAUAAUUUCAUUCGUCUUGAGUAACCUUUUUUUCUAAAUUAGAUGACAAUUUUUAUGUAAUAAUUAUAAAUACAAUUUUAAUAAUUUAUUAAAAUUAUUGAGUUUACAAAAAAAGAAAUGUCUAGAAAUGUCUUUUUUCGUCAAUAAGUUUUUUUUUAAAUUAGAUAAUUAUUUUAUAUAUUUUUGAACUCUUCUCGUCAAGAAAAAAUAAAAAAUUUGUGGUAUUAGAGAGCUGCUUUUGUUCAGUGUAGUGACCCUAGUGGGCGAUGAUGGUGGUAUGGUGAUUUAUGCCGGAUGUCAAUGAAUUCAACGGCUGCUAUGGGCUGUGCUGUGAGUGACAAUCCAUUGGGAUGGGGUAGAGCUAGAAACAUCAAAUAAUAGAGAGAGAAGAGAACUCUAAAUUCCAUAACAUUUUGACAAUGUUAAUUUAUUAUCUGAUGUGAUAUAAUUUAUAAAUAUUUUUAGAUAUAAUUAAAUUAUUUAUUGAAUCUAUGUAUUAAUUUGAAAAUACGUCACAUCAGAUAAUAAAUAAAAAACAAUUAGAUAAGCGUAAUAUACAAUUAGAUAAGCGUAAUAUUGUUUGAUAUUAAUGUUGUUAAAUAAUGAGAAGAAGGAUUUUAAAUAAUGAUUAAUAAAUGUCCCCUUAUCCUUAAAUUACGACUCCAACAAUAACUAUACCUUGAGGCAAAACUGUAUUUUUUUUAUACUGCAAUCUCUAACUUAAUAUAUAAAUACAACUUAUGACAUAGUACGGAAGUUAAUAAAGAAGAGUAAAGGAAACACAUAAAUUAGAAAAACGUCCUAUUAAUCUAAGGAAGGAAUCUUCCUAAUUCCAACCGUAAGUAUAACACAACUUUCAAAGUACCCAUAAAAAAGCUCACACGUCGAUUUAUAGGAAGUAUUGGGAUCAUUUAACUAAAGAGCAAUUGGCAAAGCCUCAAAGCUAUGCAGAUUGCAUCCAUUAGUGUCGUCCCGGAGUUCCGAUGUUUGGAAUCAAUUCCUCUACACCUACCUUUCAAGUUAUCGAUAGAUCGAAAACAGAAAUAUAAAUGCGGGCUGAUAUCAAUAUUUACAGCAUGAAUUUUGUAAAAUCACCCAUUCUAGGUUAGGUGUAGUAGCAUGUGAUUUUAAAUGCAUUGAAUUUGAAAAAAUGACAGUAAAUCCAGGAACAGUCCCAAGGGGUCGCAGCCCCAAACUUUGACAAAUUUAUAAUAUUAAUCGCAUCUUAUUUCGAAUUCAAAAACUAUCUCUUACUAUUUACGGGUAAAAUCUAUUUGGGUUAAUCCAACGGCUGAGAUUUCAUCUAAAAUUAUUUUUUUCUCUCAAAACUAUAUUUCCAGUCUUUUUUCAAGAUGUUGAGCCCCACAUAAAUUCCAAUGGCAAAACUCUAAAAGUUAUGGCAUAUAUUUUAUCUAUUGAAUCAUUUUUUAGUAGAACCCACAUACAUAAAAAAAAUUUAUUUCUCCUUUAUUUCUCUCAAACUAGCAAUACUUUUUCAAAAUCAAUAUAUUUUCUAAUUUAUUUUUUAUUUUGUAGCAAUAUAUCUCUUCGUAUAUACAUCCAAUGUAUCUUUUAUCUGAUUUUUAUAUCUUAUCUGUUUUGUAAUUUGUAAAACUCUAACGAGUACGCCUAAGAGGUAAUUUUUUUUGAGCAGUGCCUAUAGGCAUGAGCAAUUACUAGUGCUCAAUAACGCAAUAUAAUUUUUGAUAUUUACAUGGUAAGUAUGCACAUCCCUAAUAAUUUAGUUUAAUGCCUCCAAAAUUUAAACAAAUAUUUAUCCUAGGCUCCGUUUGGAUAUGUAGAUUUCAAAUCAAGAAAUUUUAUAUUUUAUUUAAUAAAAAUAACUUACAUUAAGAUUUAGUAGUCGACGUAGAGAUUUCGAGCUUGAAUUUGAGAGUUUUAUUAUUAUGUAAUAUGAUGAAUUUAAAAUAACAAAUUAAUAAGAGAGAUUUAAAAUCUUUUAUACAAAUGCUUAAAAUACCCUUCCCAAAGAAAAAGAAAGAAAUAAAAGUGUAGUUGUAUGAGAAGGAAUAAUUCCGGUAAUGAGCAAAAAUAUUAAGGAUAUUAUUGUAAUCUUACAUAUAAAAAUAAAAAAUAUUUAAUAAAAAGUAUAGUGCAUAAAUCCCUAACCUAUUAAAAACUAAUAAUUCUUCUUAGGUAAGGACCUCUUGUACUGAAGAUUUGAAGCUUCUAGCUUGAUUUUUUCUCACAGCUUUGUGGUCAACUCUCACCAUUCCUCCUUUCGCCUCCCCAUACGUUUUCUUACAUUUUGGUCCGUAAUACAUGUGAAUACACAUUGAUGAAAGUCGUCAUUCACGUAGCCGCCCGAGUAACUAUUCUCAGUCUAUGAGUACAAUAUGUAUACACGGGUGUACUGUACGUAACAUUUUUACAACCUGACAUUUACAAUAACACUAAAUCAUAAAGAUUAAAGACAAAAAAUUCACACAACAAAACCCAGAAGAAUUCAGUGUACAGACUUUCUAAAAUUCUUUUGAUUUUCAGAAUUUAUUCAAAAAAAUAUGUUCAAACUCCAAAAACUUAUUAAAUAUCAUUGCAGUCUAUGUACCGGUUGAGGAGGAAUUUUGCGUAACCUUUGUGUGCAGUACGUCAAAGACGCCAAUACAGCCUCCCGAGAACGUACAAUAGAAUGAGUAUUGACUUGUCAGAUGUUCAGAUUUUACACAAUUUGGAUACAGGAUACAGCGUUACAAGUUCUUUCCAGCCAGCCGGUUUGGUACUGAGUUUAGCUCCUAUGGCGUCGAUCCGAAUAUAUUUUGCAAAUAUUUUGAUGAUACAUAUUUCUAUCUUAUUGCUCUUAAUGGUAGUAGUAAUUCAAGUAUGUUAGUUCAUCUCAAAAUUAUUCCAAGAGUCACAGCCAUUCUCACAAGGACACAAAAAGAAACACGAAAUAUUUGGGACUGCCAACAAGAAACCUUCAACACUGAAGGAUCAAAAAAUGGAAAACCGUUGUUCAGGUGUGUAUUAUUUUGUAAAUGCUCUUAGUAAUGGUUUACAACAAUUUUGUUAGGGCGUCUAAAAAAUGCUACCGUAAUAUAGUCCUUUCAUGGCCGCAUUAAUUAAAAAUACAAUAAGUGCAUUAAAACUUAGAUUUAUUACAAAAAUGUGCUACAAGCAAAAAUGUAUGUUCAUUUUGAAUAUUUACUAUGUCAAUGUGUGUAAAAAAUUGGGCUAGUUGACAAUAAUUGUUUUGACAUUGUGUUGCAAAAGCAUUUGUUUCAAUUUUGUAAAAACUAUUGCUAGCAACAAUUUUUGACUUUGAAAAUUGAUUCCAAGUUUUGAAAACAUAAUGUUAGCAACAUUUUCUGACUUGAAAUUUGGUUCCAAGUUGAAAAAUAUGUUAACACAAAUAAAGAGAACAAAUUUCUGACUUGAAAAUUUGGGUUCCAACUUUCUGACAAAUUGGAUAGGCACCUAUUUUCUGACUUUGCAAAAUUUGGUUCCAACUUCUGAAAAAAAUUGGAUAGCAACAAUUUACUGACUUUGAAAAAUGUGGUUAACAGAGCUGAGCGUGUUGAAAUUGGUAUAAUAAUUUCCUGACUUUGAUAUAAAUGUGGUUGCAUACUUUUGCCAAAAAUUGAAUAGCACCAUUUUUCUCAUUUUCGACUUUGAAUGUGGGUUGGAACUUUGAAAAUUUGGUACAGUAUAAUUUUCUUUCUGACUUUUGAAAAUGUGUGUGUGUGGCCAACUUUUGAAUUAGAGAAUCAAAAAAAAAAUAAAGAAUAGCAACCCAUUUCUGACUUGACAUGGUAUUUUCAAAUUUGAAAAUUGGCGUAAGAAAACUAGCAAAACUUCAAAUUCCAUCUUACCAACUCGGUUAUAGUUCUUCCUAGAAGCUAUAAAAUCAUAUCCUUUACGCUCUCAUUUUUUAUCUUGGAAUCUUAUGGAGAAUCAAAGAACUCAAAGCAUUCUUCAUUCUUCAUUUUCCAAAAUUCCCCUUUGAGCCUUCAAUUUAUUCAUACAAGAGUUCUCGUGAGAGAGACAUUGUAAAAGCUUCAUUUGUAUAUCCUUCUCAAAAGGAGAAUUGUUAUUGUGAGAGAAAUCUCAAAUCUAUUUCAGUCGAUUGUAUCUAGAGGGUUGUUUUGACCCUGUUUAGGUGUGAAGGAAAUUUUCCACCUUGUGAGAAGAGUGUGUACUCUUGCGUGUAAGGUUUGAACUCCACCUGCACAGGAGUUUGGCGGAUUAGUGUUGAUUGAAAUCUUCAAGUGUUGUGCUUUGGGAGUGACGUAUGUCAGGAAGACCGAACCACUAUAAAUUAUAGCCGAGUUUUGAUCUCUUUCCUUCUCGUUGUAUUAGUGUGCUCAUAUUUAUACGCUCGGUGCAUUAUACUGCUUUUUAUAUCAUUUGGAAACUCUUAAUUCAGUAUAAUUUAUUAAAAGAAAAGUUUUGCCAACAAACCCUAUUCCCCCCCCUCUAGGGUUAAUUUCUGGGUAACAAGUGGUAAUCAAGCAGGACUCUACAUUUUUCGGUAUCUAAAACGAUCUAGGAUUAAAAAGAUCUAUGGCCACAUAAUAGGAACACAUAUGGCCGAAUGCCAUUCCAUACAUAGACUCUGCUUUCCACUUAUUCGUCCGGAUAGUAAUUUAUAGAUUAUUGUGAAGGCUAGAAUUAAAAUUUUAUAUUCAGUGCCAAUGAUUAUGCAUGUUUGUCGAGCAUUAACAAAGCAUGGACCUAUUGCGUCCCACAAAAUAACUGAAAGUGGAGAGUGGUUACUAUAAACCUCAAAGAAUGGACUAUCGUAGAUACAAAAGCACAUGUAACAAAAUAAUGCUCAAGCCAACUUACACCACUUUUUAUAUUGUGCCUUACAGACGUAACGCAUUAAAUAAAUCUCCGGUGGUGAAACGGCUAAGGAAAUUGUUGGGAUAAGACACGUAAGAAUCCACCCAUGCGAACUGGACCAUCAAGUAAAAGGAAUCAAAAAUAAGUAUGUUAGGUUCAUUAAUACGAAUUUUUAAAAAUGAAUCAAGUGAUACUAAUGUAUCUGCAAUGUGUUCUACCUCGUUUUUUUAACCGAUAUGAUGUGUUCAUUAAUGGAGUGUAAGAGUCGCGCUGUAAAGUUUGUAUACAAUGUCGAAAUGGUGCGAGUAAUGCAUUGCUUAGGUGUCAUUAUCCACAAGAAGUUGGGAGACCAAACGUAUACCUGCCAUUGAAGAAUGCCAAAAGUAGCCCAUCACCAAAAAUGGGUCUUGAUGAAUUGGCUUGGAUCUCUCAUACACUGAAAUCACCUUGAGAGCAAUGAGGAAAAUGACGAAGGUAAAAAAAGAGAGAAAUUGCUUUCAAACCUCAUCAGCACAAACAAUGAUGAACCUCAACAUGAAUGAGGAAGUGAUGAAGAUAUGGCUCUCUUAAACGAAGAUUUACAGAUUUCAAAAGAGGUCAUUUCCUAGAAGACAAGGACGACCGAAACUUCGACAAAAAUGAAGACAAAAGAAGGACCCCCCAUCAUUUGCUUUGAAUGCAAAAAGCCCGGUCACAUGAAAGUUUGAUUGGCCAAAUCUCAAGAAAGAUCAAACGAGAUAGAGAAAUAUCAAAUUUGAAAAAUUCAAGAAGCUUUUCGGCUUGGGGAGAAAUUGACGUUGACACAUCCGAUGAUGAGUCCGGUGAUUCAAGAAGUGGCAAUUGUGUUCUUGUUCCUCAAGAAGAUAUAAAAAUGAGGUACAAUCUCGAAUCCAUUCCUUAAAUGAUUUACAAGAUGAUUAUGAUGAUUUAUAUUAGGGAAUCAUUGAAAUUAAUAACAAACAUUGCAUGCUUUAAAACAAUUGCCAUCACUUUCUAUUGAAAUAGAAACCUUUUGAAGAAGCUGGCUAAUGAGUGACAAGUAAAUAUUGAACUACUGAUACAAUUUUAGAUCUAACAAAAUGUCUUGGAAAAAUUUACAAAAGUCAAAAGAUUUUGGAUCUACUUCUUGGAUCACAAAGAUGUGUAUAUGAUCCGUGCGGGAUUGGACACAAUAUUCAACUAACAAAAUUAUAUAAAUAUCUUUGUGUGAAUCAACUUCUUUUUCGACCACAAAAAUUUCAUGCACAGAUUGCAAUCCUAAGGGCAUACUCAAAAACAUGCUAUGUGAAGAAUGUGUUAGGUAAAGGAUUAAAAAACAAUAUGGGGACCUAAGAAGAAAAAUGCUACUAACAUUCAAGGACCCAACCAGAUUUGGGUACCAAGACAAUGGUUGAUCUUGUAUAAGGUUGCUGAAUGAAUUCAAAGAAAGGAGGAGGGGGGGGGGGGGGGGUGGUACUUGUAGUGGAUGCUCAAGACAUUGACUCGGAGAAUAAAUCCACCUUUCGCAUACUAAUCCAAAGGAUGUGGAUUUGUGACCUUCGAGACAAUAGCAAGGAAAAAUCUCGUAUAGUUAAUGGGGUAGGAACCUUCUCCUUUAUAUAAAAUGUUUACUUGUUGAUGGAUUAAAGCAUAACUUUACUUAGUAUUAGUCAUAUGUGAUACGGAAAAUAAAGGCAUCUUUGACAAAUAUGUGCCCAUAGAAAAAUAUCAAAGAUGAUAAAACUUAUUUAAUUGUCAAAGAAUUGAAAUGUAAUUUUUUUUGUUAAAAAUUGAUGACGUUGAGCCAACAAAUGGACUUGCUUAUCAGCCAUGAAUGACAAACGGUUGGCUAUGGCCAUAAAGGCCUUGGGCAUUCUCUAUAGAUCUUAUUUCAAAACUUGCUAAAAGGAUUGGUAAUUGGGCUAACCAAAAAUUUCUUUUGAAAAGAUAGUUGUGUGGAGCAUGUCACCAAGGACAACAAACAAAGUGUCUUUUAAGUCAAAAAUAUCGUUUCUUCUCUCUCUUCUAACAUCUAAGGCCUCUACAACUUCUACACACAUGGACCUUAAUUGGUCCUUCAAGACAAUGAAGUUCGUGAGGAAAUUAUACAUUCUUGUGAUUUGUGAUGAUUUUUUCUCGAUUUACAUGGUAACAUUUUUAGCUCACAAAAAUUAAGCAUUUUCCUCAUUUCACAAAAACUUGCCGACGUCUCAAAUGAUAAAGAACUAAGACCUCAAAAUUUCUACAUUAGAACCGAUCAUGGGAAAGACUGAAAUUGAGUCUUUUUGCCAAAUUUUGUGAUAUCUCGGAUUGGACUAAUUUCUCGGCACCUAGGACCCCUCAACAAAAAGGCUUGUUGAAAGAAAAAAUAGAACUUUGGAAGAAAUGGCAAGAACAAUGCUUUGCGAAAACUCUCGUCCAAAAUAACUUUGGGCUUAAAAGCUGUGAACACGCAUGCUUUAAUUUAAUCGAGCCAUGAUUUAGGCCAAUCUUAAAAGACACCUAUGAGCCUUUGGAAAGAAGAAACCAAAUAUUGGGUUCUUUCAUUGCUUUGGAUGCAAUGCUUAUGUCCCUAAAUAUGGGAAGGACAACUAGGAAAAUUCGAUCAAUCGGAUGAAGCUUUUUCUAGGAUAUUCAAUUACAACACAGCUUUUUCGAGUUUUUAACAAACGAACUUUAGUAGUUGAAGAAUCCUGCAUGUUGGUAUUUGAUGAAUAUAAUGAUCCUUCUUUUCAAGUGCUUCAAGAAAGUUAGGAAUUGAAAAGCAUGGAAAAUAUUGAAAUCUCUCAAGAACGCAGAUACUCAAGGAGAAGCCACUGAAAAACAAAUUGCAACUAGAGGUAGUACUUACCUCAAAUUGAAAAUCACGUGGGAAACCUCAAAAGCAAAGAAGGUGGAAGCUCACAUCUCCCAAAGAAUGGAGAUAUGUUUUUCACAACCACCAACAAUCUCAUUAUUGGUGAUCCAUCAAAAGGGUAACUACUAGAACUCUAUAAAAUUUAUUGGGCAUCUUGCAUUCUAUUCUCAAUAGAACCUAAAAUUUUCAUGAAGCUGAAUUUGAUGAAUAUUGGCUUCUAGCUAUGCAAGAGAACUCAAUCCAUUCGAAAGAAAGCAAGUUUGGACUCUAGUACUAGGCAUCAAAUCAUCCUCAUAUUGGCACUAAAUGGUAUUUAGAAAUAAACUUGAUGAAUCCGGAAUCAUUGUUAGAAAUAAAGCUAGACUUUUGGCCCAAGGAUAUAGUUCAAGAAGAGGAAUAGAUUUUGAUGAUAAUUUGCUCUCCCGUAGCUAGAUUGGAAGCUAUUUCGAAUGUACAGCCUUUGCAUGCUAAUAUGGACUUCAAUUAUAUCAAAUGGAUGUAAAAAGUGCAAUUCUUAAAUGGAUUUAUUACCGAGGAAGUGUUGUGCCACCUCGCCGGGUUUGGAGAAUCAUGAAUUGCCCAAUCAUGUCUUUAACUUUCAAAGCACUCUAUGGACUUAAGCAAGCUCCAAGACGUGGUAUGAAAGACUUAGCAAAUAAUUUAAAUGAUACUAGUUUUUGGCAAGAGGGAAAAUAGAUAAUACACUUUUUAUAAAAAUUGAAGAAUAAGGACAUGCUCAUCGUCCAAGAUAUGUUGAAUGAUAUUAUAUUUGGUGCUACUAUGAGAAUAUUGCAAAGAAUUUGGCUAAAGAGCAUGCAAAGGAGAAUUCGAUGACAUAUUGGGGAGGCUAACUUUCUUCCUUGGACUAACAAAUCAAACAAUCAAGCGAAGGGACAAUUUAUAAUCAGCAAAUACACAAAGGAGCUUCCUCAAGCGUUUGGCAUGAUAGAAGCAAAACCGCUAGGCACCACCGAACCCCAUAUGGGCACAUCAAUAAGCCUUGACAAAGAUGAAAUGGUAAAAAUGUUGAUGAACAAGCCUCUAAUCGAGGUAUGAAUUGGCUCUUUUGCUCUAUUUAAAACAAAACGGAAGUAGGCCGGAUAUCAUGUUUUAGUGUAUGCCAUAUGUGCUAGAUUUCAAUCAUGUCCUAAGGAAUCAACUUUAAGUUUGCUGUGAAACGCUAUUUAGAUAGCUCAUAGAAACGUAUGACUUAGGAAUAUUCAUCCUAGGGUAGUUGCAUUUGAAUUAAAUGAUUCCUCCGAUGCCGACUAUACGCCGGAUUGUAGAUAGAUCGAAAGAGCACAAGUGGCACUUGCAUUCCUAGGACACUCUCUAGUGUCAUGGUCUAGCAAGAAACAAAAUUCCGUUGCUUUAUCAACCGCCGAGGCGGAAUAUGUGGCCGCGGAAGUUGUUGUGCCAUUCCUUAUUGGAGGAAACAACAAUGGAGGAGUAUGGUUUAAUUUGAUCAUAUUCCCAUCAAAUGUGAUAAUACACGUGCUAUAAAUUUUGUCUAAGAGCCCCAAUUAAUACAACACUCAAAGAACAAACCUAUUGAAAUUCGACAUCUCAUUUUUUAAAGAUCACGUCCCAAAGGGGGAUUUGACUUCAAUAUAUUCCUACCGACAAGCAUUGGCGGCUAUUUUUAACAAAACCCCUUGAUUGAAAAAAGAGAUUUUGCUAUAUUCCGAACUGAACUGUAAUGGUCUAAACCAAGUGAUAUUUUUGGAUCUUAAAAUAAAUUUAUAAGUAUAAGUUGAGUCAUAGUUGAGAAAGAAUAGUUCGGGACUGAAUGUAUUCAAUGCCUAAUCUCCGACAAACAAUUUUUUUCCUUUCUUUGAAUUGUUAUCUUGAUUUGAUAUGUGAUAAAUAAGAUUAUCAAAAAGCUGAGGUACUGAUAUUAUGAUAAGAACUAUGAGAUCUCUAUAUGCUUAUAUGCGAAAAUGUAAGUAUGUAAUGUCUGACAAUGAGAGUUGUUCUUUAUUUUGAUAAAACUAUCCCUUUUGAUAAUUUCAAAACUCCUCUAAAUGAAAGAAUUUUAAGAUUUGAGGUUUUAGUGCAAAAAUCUUUUGGUUUAUUCACCACUCAAAUUAUCUUUCGUUAAACAUCCUAUGUGUUUAAUUGGUAUCUAAUACUAGCAUGUGAGAUAACAAGAAAAUAUUCUUGGUCAAAAAUUUUUUAAAAAAACUCCUUCAUUAUGUUUUCAUAUGUGAUUGUUUGAUUAGUUGAAAUACAUGCAUAUCAUCAUACUUAUGCACCAACUUAGGGGAGCACUACAUAUUGGUACCACUUUGGUAGGGUAUCCUACAUUUACCUUCAUUGAAAUUAGACAUCAUAUCUUUAUUUCGUGAUCCUGUCAAAAAGAAGAUGUAGACCUAGAUUUUAUAAGUACUGGAUUUCAAUGGGUUGACAUCUUCAUAAAACCACUUCAAGAGAUCGUUCUGCAACCAUUCGAAGAGACCUUGGUAAAUGUGUAGACCACAAAUAUUAACAUAAUAUUUUAGGUUAUUUAUUUUAUAUUUUUUUAUAUAGAAUAAUUUACUAUUAUUCUGAAUCAAAUUACCUGUUUAAGUUUUCAAGAAAAUCUUAGCUUUUUCGGACUUCAACACGAACUCUCCUGGUUGCUCUUGUAAGACGGUUUUUAUCAUCUCUAGUUUUCUGAAUACUCUUUUUCCAUAUCAUUAGCAUAUGAUCGACAUUUCUCUUCACUCUUUAUUCCUCCUGCUGAAGACUUCUUUCCUUCGUUGCAAGUUUCAAACUUGAGAGUCCUUAGCUCUUGACUGCAUUUCCCUCGACUUGUAACGUCGAGCCAUAAUUUGCAACGAAGAUGCACCCUGGAUUACUGAGUGCCAUAGGAGUCCUUAAUGGCUUCAAUAUCAAUUCCAUAUUCCUCUAUAACUUUUCCAUCUUGUGGAGUACUGAUUCCUUUAGGCUAACUGAUGCAGCAAACUGCAUCAUCCGCAUCACAGAGCCAUUGUUAUGAUAGGUCUUUUUUGAGAUAAGGGUUAAUGAACGCCAGAUUCUGGUUGUACAUUAGGCAUAUCAUUCACGAUCAAAUUUCUUUUUGAGAAGAAGAAGAAGCCAUUUUUGAAAACUAAGAAAGAAACUGGUUCAGUAAAUGAAAUUGUUCUUCAAAAAGAACCGAAGGAGAAAGAAGAAGAGAACUAAUUUUUGGGAUCUAGGAAAGAGAUUUUUUCAGACAAAUAUAGCCUAAAAGUCGUCCUCUGUGCACAGCCGCACCUACCAUUGACAAACCAAUCCUAGAUUACGAUUUUAUUUUUAUUUUUUAUUUUUAUUUUUAUUUUAUUUUUAUUUUUUAUUUUGUUAUUUUUAUUUUUUUAAUUUUUUAUUUAGAUCACAUGCGUCAUCACAGCGUUCACUCGCACCUAUUGCCCCUGUCAAUCUCAUCUAUAAUUCACUUGUCUUCUCUCUACCAACGCAUAUUUCUGUUCUCAAUUCUUCAUACUCUGAAAGCUAAAAAACUUUUUCUUCCUAGUUUCAGCCUAUCAAUCUCUUCUUAAGAGAAAGAUUAGCAAGCGCAUCUAAUUCAUACCAUCUAAAUUCUAUAAGAAAGAUGCAACAUCACAAUUGAUUCCAACAACAGAAGCAAGACUAUUCUUGAUCAUGUUCAUCUAGAAGCAAGAUUUAUUCUUGAUCAUGUUUCUAAGAUGGAAUAAUCUUUCUCUUCUUUCUCAUCAGGAUUUUUCCUCCAUGAUAUAAAAUCUGUGACAGAAGAGAUAAAGCACUAUGAUAUGGGGGAUCUCCUCAUAUCUUUUCCUGAUUGCUUGCUCACCUCCUGGAUUCAAUUGAGCAAGCUUUCACUCAUAUUUAUCGUUAGAUAUACUUUCAUCAUGAAAGGGGGAGCAUCUUCGUAAGGGGGGCUUUUUAUUAUCCUUUUUGUUGAUGUCAAAAGGGGAGAAAUAAAGAUAUAUAAAAAAUUUUUGUUAAUUCCCAUAAAUAGCUUACUAAUAAAAAUGCAUUCUUCUCAGUGAUAUUACAUACUGAUUUGAUCAGUAAUAGUUAAUUACUACGAUGUGCUUAAAAUUUUUUUAUAUCAUAUUUUGUCAUCAUCAAAAAGGGGGAGAUUGUGUAGCCCUAUGGCGUCAAUCCGUUAUGUCUCAAUCUUUUGAUGAUAACAAAUUCUAUCUUAUUUGCUCAUGUUAUUGAAUUCAAGUAUGUUAGUGGCAAGAAAUAUUCAAGCAACAUUCUCAAGACCAAAAGAACCGAAGGAUAUUUGGACUGGCAAAACAAGAACCUUCAAGCACUGAAGAUCAAAAAAAUGAAGAACCUUUGUUAGGUAUUUUUGUAAAGCUCUUGUAUGGUUAAAUUUUUUAGGCUCUAAAAUACCGCGAUAUCUUCAUGCAAUUUUAAAAAUAACAAAAAAAAAAGUGCAUUACAACUUAGAUUUAUUAAAAUGUGCUAGCAAAAAUUAUUGUCCCUGUGAAUAUUUGACUACAAUUUUAAAAAAUGGGCUACAAUAAUUUUUGAUUUUGAAAAUUUGAUUUCAAUUUUGAAAAAUAUGCUAGCAACAAUUUUUGACUUUGAAAAUUUGCUUCCAAGUUUGAAAAAAUAUGUUUUAGCAAACAUUUUCUGACUUUGAAAAUUUGGUUCACCAAGUUUGAAAAAUAUGGGUUAUGCAAACAAUUUUCUGACUUUGAAAAUUUGGUUCUCCUUUGAAAAAUUGGAAUAGCCAACAAUUUUCUGACUUUGAAAUUUGGUUCGCAACUUUGAAAGUGGAUGCCAACAAUUUCUGACUUUGAAAAUGUGGUUGGAACUUUGAAAAAAUUGUAAUUUAAUUAAAGUAAUAAUUUCUGACUUUGAAAAUGUGGUUGCAUAACUUUUGGAAAAUUGAAUAGCACCAAUUUCUGUCCCUAUGAAAAUGUGGUG